CGGUAAUUCCAGCUCCAAUAGCGUAUACUAAAGUUGUUGCAGUUAAAAAGCUCGUAGUUGGAUUUCUGUGGGGACGGAGCGGCCGGCCGCAACUCGCGGUUCGAGCUAGCGCUUUCCCUACAUCCUGCCGCGAACCGUGCUACCAUUAGUUUGGUGGCGCCGGGGAUCGGCUCGUUUACUUUGAGAAAAAUAGAGUGUUCAAAGCAGGCCACACGCCUUGAAUAAGUUAGCAUGGAAUAAUAAUAAAGGACUUCGGUUCUAUUUUGUUGGUGUUCGGGACUGAAGUAAUGAUUGAUAGGGACAGUUGGGGCGGUCAGUAUUCCAAAGCGAGAGGUGAAAUUCUUAGACCUUCGGAAGACUAACAGCUGCGAAAGCGUUCCGCAAGGAUGUUCCCUUUGAUCAAGAACGAAAGUUGGGGGAUCGAAGACGAUCAGAUACCGUCGUAGUCUCAACUAUAAACUAUACCAGCUAGGGAUCGGCCAACGUUAAAUUAUUCGACUUGGUCGGCACCUUAUGAGAAAUCAAAGCAUCUGGGUUCCGGGGGGAGUAUGGUCGCAAGGCUGAAACUUAAAGGAAUUGACGGAAGGGCACCACCAGCCGUGGAGCAUGUGGCUUAAUUUGACUCAACACGGGAAAACUUACCAGGUCCAGACAUAGUAAGGAUUGACAGAUUGAUAGCUCUUUCUUGAUUCUGUGGGUGGUGGUGCAUGGCCGUUCUUAGUUGGUGGAGUGAUUUGUCUGGUUAAUUCCGUUAACGAACGAGACCCCAGCCUGCUAAAUAGCGCGGUUGAGCUUUGCUCGGCGCGAGCUUCUUAGAGGGACUAUGAUGCGCGAUAGCACAUGGAAGUUUGGGGCAAUAACAGGUCUGUGAUGUCCUUAGAUGUUCUGGGCCGCACACGGGCUACACUGGCGCCUGCAACGAGCAUAUCAGCUGGCCCGAGAGGGUCUUGGCUAAUCUUUUGAACCGGCGCCGUGCUUGGGAUUGACCAUUGCAAUUGUUGGUCAUGCAACGAGGAAUGCCUUGUAAAUGCGAGUCAUCAACUCGCAUUGAAUACGUCCCUGCCCUUUGUACACACCGCCCGUCGCUCCUACCGAUGAAUGUUCCGAUGAAAUUUUCGGAGAGCGCUUGUGAAGUUGGUUAUGCCUUCCGAACGAGAGGCUCAAAGUCACUUAAAUCUGAACAUUUCGAGGAAGGAGAAGUCGUAACAAGGUAGCCG
rnacentral:rRNA from 1 species